AGAUUGACAUGAUUGCAGAAUGGAGUCAAUAAAACAAAUUCCAUCUGAUAUUCAACAUAAAUUUUAAGUUUAGAAUAACAAGCUCACAAGAGCUUGGUUUUAGAUAUCACUUGGGACCACAGACUAACAGACAAAGGAACAAAGCAAAACGACUCUGCGAUUUGAUGUAGAAACUCCUGACUCCGAAGCCUGCAGCCGCCCUCCAAUUCUCAAGUCAGAAGUGUGCCAAUGAUGGUGCAGAUCCAACAACACUGGAAACGAUCUUGAGUCUAGACCAAAGCAGCCCCUUGAUUGGCACCGUAUCCAUUCUCUCCACAACCAACUCCAAGACACAAUAAUGUGUCCAUAUACAAGAUGCACUGCCACAUUUUUUUCCAACUAUUCUUACACCCGCCUUUCCAGACUUAGAAAACUCAUCUUCAAGGUCAAGGACAUCAGACAUGGUAGCACUAAUCCCAGUAAAAAUCACCUCCAAGCUACUCUCAAACUUAUUUGGAAAUGAAUGAUUGUUCCUGAGUCAAUAUUAGUAAUCUCUUUUGGAACAGCAUUGUGGGUCUGUGUACAGCAACAUGAAGCUGUUCAAGAAGUCAAUUUGUGCUGGACAAUCAGCAACAGCUAUGUCUCAUUAAAGAAUAAAUAAAUCGGAAAGAAAUCCAUCUGAGAGUCACAAGCAAAUGGGUAACUUUUUUUUGUUCACUCUGCAGCUCGUGGGCUAUUACCAAUUUUGACAAUGACAAAUGAAGCUUUUGUUUGGUUUGCUAUUGAUAGCAGCUGUCCACAAAAUAAAAACAAUUGGCAUCAGAGAUAAUGGGAACUGCAGAUGCUGGAGAAUCCAAGAUUACAAAGUGUGGAGCUGGAUGAACACAGCAGGCCAAGCAGUAUCUCAGGAGCACAAAAGCUGACGUUUCGGGCCUCGACCCUUCAUCAGAAAAGAGGGAGGAGGAGAGGGCUCUGAAAGAAAUAGGGAGAGGGGAAGGCAGAUUGAAGAUGGAUAGAGGGGAAGAUAGGUGCAGAGGAGACAGACAAGCAAUAAGGAAGGAGAGGAUCAAAUAUCAAGGUAGGCUAGCUAGUCAUAUCAGAAAUCAUAGUAACGGCUUCUUUCAAUACAUAAGAAACAAACGUGAGGCAAAAGUAGACACUGGGCCACUCCAAAUUGAUGCUGGAAGGCAAGUGGUGGGAGAUAAGGAAGUAGCUGAAGAACUUAAUAAGUACUUUGCGUCAGUCUUCACAGUGGAAGACAUGAGUAAUAUGCCAACAAUUAGGGAGAGCCAGGGGGCAGAGCUGAGGAUGGUAGGAAUUACAAAAGAGCAAGUGCUAAAAGAGCUAAAAGGUCUAAAAAUUGAUAAAUCUCCUGGCCCCAAUGGGCUAUAUCCUAGAGUUCUGAACAAGGUGGCUGAGGAAAUAGCAGAGGCUUUGGCUAUGAUCUUUCAAAAGUCAGUGUAGUUUUUUUUUGAGUGCGAGCAGCAGCGGAGGCAAGACGGACCCGGAAGACUGCAGCUAAGGUAAAGCAGUUUAUUUUUAAAAUUACUUACCGGUAGCGGGCAGCGGUGUUUUUCCUCUUUCAGAGAAGGAGCGGGAGCAGCAGAGGAAGUGACGAGGACCAGAGGGGCAGCCGGGAAGGAAAGCAGUGAGUAUAAAUACUCACCCUUCGACGCCAACGGCCAUUAUGAGUGCGAGCAGCAGCAGAGGCAAGAUGGACCCGGAAGACUGCAGCUAAGAUGCGGAUAAAGUUCUCCAAGCUGACAGAAAUUGAAAGCACUCGCAUCCUGUGACGAUGGGGUAGGAGUGGAAGAAUCAGAGUGUUUCUUUGAAAAUUGGCUUGAUGUGUCUGUCCAAGGGUCAUCUGGAGGAAAAAAUACAAGUAUAUCUUCAAACAAGUAGCUGAACCCACAGAUUUAUGUGACCAACGAAGCCUGAGCCUUUUGCUUCACGAUGCAGUCCAGAUCCCUCGGCAGCUGGGUGAGGUAGCUUCAUUUGGAGGCAGCACCAUUGAACCAAGUGUCCGCAGUUGCUUCCAACAUGCACUCAGACAUGAACUAAUGGAUAAGGAGGAGACAAUCAUAACUGCUUUGGAUUCAGCCCAUAGAAGGGCCAGAGGAGCCGCGCUGACACCUUCAUGUUUAAACAGAGGACACUUUUCUGCGUGCCACGAGAUGUAUAUCAGCCAUACCAAAAUGCUGCCUUUGCCUGAGACAGGGAAGAUCAACUGACUUUGGGGAAAUGGAGAAUCAUUCAUGAAUCCAGUUACUUUCUGAUCUGACAGCUUUGUGGCAUCUGAAUGGAUAACAAUUUGAUCUGGUAAUCUCAAUUGAUAGAGUGCAAAUGUGUAGUGAUGCAUUUUGGGAGCUCUGGUAAGUGAAAGAUGUUCACAAUGACUAGUAGAUCCCUAGAGAGCACUGAGAAACAAAGGGACCUUGAUGUCCAAAAGCAAGAGUUCAUGCCCUCUGCUUCUGGCCUUUCAGGCAAAGUUGGAUCCAACACUCCACUGAGUCUUAGAUCCCAUGAGCUCUUGUUUUGUUGACCAGUCUGCUAUCACUGACCUUAUCAAAAACAUAUAGACCACAUCAGAUGAAUUUCCCUCUUCAACACUUCUGAUAUCUCCUCAAUAAAAAUUAGAUAAAAUUUGCAAACCAUGGCAUUACCUCAACAAAGCCAUGCUGACUAUCCCCGAACAUUCCAUGUUUCUCCAAGUGCAGCGACAUUUUGUCCCUUAAAAUUCUUUCUGAUAACUUCCCUACCACCAAGGUUAGACUGGCUUGUAACUUCUGGAUCUGUCCUUUCUUCUUUUAUAUAAAAGUAUGAGCGGUCCUCUGGCACCUUAGCUGUGGCCAGAAAUGACUUGAAAAAUCUUUGCCAGGACCUUUUGAUAUCUCCUCCCCUGCUUCAUAAAGUCAUGCAGUAUAGAAACAGGCUCACUUGAUCAACAUCAAUGCCAACUAACAAACAUCAAACUACUGAUCCCAUUUACCUGCACUGAGUCAUUACCUGCCAUACCCUGGCCCUUUAAAUGCUCAUCUGUUGCUUCUUUAAUAUUGCAAGCGUAUCUGCCUUCUCCACCUUGUCAAGCAGCAUAUUACAUGUUUGUAUCACUUUUGGUGAAAACACUUGCCUCAGAUCCCCUCUAAAUAGCUGACAGUUUACCUGAAAUCUAUGCCCCCUGACUUAAACUCGUCUACUGGUUCUCACAAUCAAUCUAUGCCUCUCAUAAUUUUGUAUACGUCGAUCAGAUUUCCCCUCAGCCUCCUCUGCUGCAUGGAAAACGCAAUUAGCCUACCAGUUUCUCCUCAUAAAACUUGCAUUCAAUCACAAAACAACACCCUGAAACAUAUACUAUCAACCAACCUGGCCAACAUCUCUGUCUCCGGCUUGCUACAGUGUUCCAGUGAAGCCCAGCACAAGCAGACAGAACAACACCUCAUUUUCUACUUGGGGACCUGACAGCCCUCCAGACUUAACAUUGAGUUCUGCAAUGUUAGGGCCUAAACUCUCCCAUAUCCCAGCGCCCCCACCCCACACACCAACCCUCUGCUCUCAGUAACACUGUCUGCCCGUCACAGGGCCCUCACCCCCUCCUCUAAGUAAUACUGCCCGUCACAGGGCCCU